rnacentral:rRNA from 1 species
GAUGAACGCUAGCUACAGGCUUAACACAUGCAAGUCGAGGGGAAACGACAUCGAAAGCUUGCUUUUGAUGGGCGUCGACCGGCGCACGGGUGAGUAACGCGUAUCCAACCUGCCCAUCACUUGGGGAUAACCUUGCGAAAGUAAGACUAAUACCCAAUGAUAUCUCUAGAGGACAUCUGAAAGAGAUUAAAGAUUUAUCGGUGAUGGAUGGGGAUGCGUCUGAUUAGCUUGUUGGCGGGGUAACGGCCCACCAAGGCAACGAUCAGUAGGGGUUCUGAGAGGAAGGUCCCCCACAUUGGAACUGAGACACGGUCCAAACUCCUACGGGAGGCAGCAGUGAGGAAUAUUGGUCAAUGGGCGAGAGCCUGAACCAGCCAAGUAGCGUGCAGGAAGACGGCCCUAUGGGUUGUAAACUGCUUUUAUAAGGGAAUAAAGUGAGAGUCGUGACUCUUUUUGUAUGUACCUUAUGAAUAAGGACCGGCUAAUUCCGUG